rnacentral:lncRNA from 1 species
UAAUGCCGGAUUGGUAAAUUGGUAUCUACAAUUAUUGUAAGAACAGAUAUCGUGAAUUUUGGAAAUAAUUGUUCCCAAUCUUGAAGAUAUUAAACAAUAAUUUCUUAAUUAUCUACAAUUACUGGUAUGCAUAUUUUACCUUUAAAUGAUAUUUUUCUCAUUAGAAUUAACAUUUAUAUUUCACAGCUGAACUUGUAAACAUAUUCAGUUACCUUCAACAUAUGUUCCAACAUUUAAUAACAUAAAUAUUGUCUCAUACUCAGCAGCCUCUGUGUUUUAGUAUACAUUCAGGUGUUGUGUACAGUUGAAUAUAUA